UUGAGAUCCUCAGGGAAUUAAAUCUGCUGCUUGUCCACAGGAUAGAUAAUUGCAGGGCAAGCUUCCCACAUCACUGCCUCCUGCCAAUGCAGCUCAGCCUUGACCUGGCUACCAUUCAUGGCGGGACAGUGUAGAGUUCAUUCUCCGUAUCCCAUUCAUAGUCACUGGCCUUU
rnacentral:sRNA from 1 species